rnacentral:rRNA from 1 species
CAAGUCGAACGGAGGGUUUUUGAAGCUUGCUUUAAGAAUCCUUAGUGGCGAACGGGUGAGUAACACGUGAGUUACCUGCCCCGAAGUGGGAGAUAGCCCGGAGAAAUUCGGAUUAAUACCCCAUGUGAUCGAAAGAUUAAAGGCGGCGUAAGCUGUCGCUUCGGGAUGGGCUCGCGGCCUAUCAGCUAGUUGGCGGGGUAACGGCCCACCAAGGCGAUGACGGGUAGCUGAUCUGAGAGGAUGAUCAGUCACACUGGAACUGAGACACGGUCCAGACACCUACGGGUGGCAGCAGUCGAGAAUCAUUCGCAAUGGGCGAAAGCCUGACGGUGCGACGCCGCGUGGAGGAUGAAGGCCCUAGGGUCGUAAACUCCUGUCAUCAGGGAGUAAGGGCUUGCGCAGUCACUGGCGCGGGCAUUGAUAGUACCUGAAGAGGAAGGGACGGCAAACUUCGUGCCAGCAGCCGCGGUAAUACGAAGGUCCCAAGCGUUGUUCGGAUUUACUGGGCGUAAAGAGUCUGUAGGCGGCGGGGUAAGUCAGAUGUGAAAUCCCGGGGCUCAACCCCGGAACUGCAUCCGAUACUGCCUUGCUAGAGUAUUGGAGGGGAGCCUGGAAUUCUCGGUGUAGCAGUGAAAUGCGUAGAUAUCGAGAGGAACACUAGUGGCGAAGGCGAGGCUCUGGACAAUUACUGACGCUGAGAGGCGAAGGUCAGGGGAGCGAAAAGGAUUAGAUACCCUUGUAGUCCUGACAGUAAACGGUGCACGCUUGGUGUGGGAGGGUUCGACCCCUUCUGUGCCGGAGCUAACGCGUUAAGCGUGCCGCCUGGGGAGUACGGUCGCAAGAUUAAAACUCAAGAAAUUGACGG